CUUUUGUGGCUGUUUCCCAGGUCUCGCUCUUCUCCAAGGUCACAGCAGAGAGAACACAAGGUUUCAGCCAGGGCCUGCGACGGUCAGUGGGAGGAAUCGCCACCAUUCUGGGGCCCCUGUGGGCUGGAGGCCUGACCGAAAACCUCUACGUCAUGCUGGGGGUGAUGAUGGGCCUGCUGAGCCUGCUGAUGGUCAUGGUUGGGCUUUCGUACUCUUACCUGGUGGAGCUACCCAGGAGCUCCGUGCCAGGACCGUCCCCGGAGGAGCGGCGCUCAUGACCUCCCACCCGUCCACUGUGCACCCAGAGGGAUAGCAUGGGUUAAAGCCACCAAGGUGAGAGUGUUGGGUGCCUCCUCUGCCCCGGUGGCUAAACAGUCCUGGGUCAAGUGCACCGACACGCCUGGAAGAGCCUGGGUGAGGCCAGCAGCUCCUGCC
rnacentral:lncRNA from 1 species